GUUCUAUUGUCGGUUUGUUGUCUCUUUGACACAUUCCCUAUUUCCAUUCCCAAUUUUAUUUGCCUUUCAACUGUUUUGGCACAUCUUUUUGAAAUUUUGAAUCCUAAAAUUGAGAAUGGAAAUGGGGAAUGUGCCAAAGAGACAAGCGUAAUUAGUGAG
rnacentral:sRNA from 1 species